AUUGAACGCUGGCGGCAUGUCUUACACAUGCAAGUCGAACGGUAACAGGUCUUCGGAUGCUGACGAGUGGCGAACGGGUGAGUAAUACAUCGGAACGUGCCUAGUAGUGGGGGAUAACUACUCGAAAGAGUGGCUAAUACCGCAUGAGAUCUACGGAUGAAAGCAGGGGAGCGCAAGACCUUGUGCUACUAGAGCGGCCGAUGGCAGAUUAGGUAGUUGGUGGGAUAAAAGCUUACCAAGCCGACGAUCUGUAGCUGGUCUGAGAGGACGAUCAGCCACACUGGGACUGAGACACGGCCCAGACUCCUACGGGAGGCAGCAGUGGGGAAUUUUGGACAAUGGGCGCAAGCCUGAUCCAGCAAUGCCGCGUGCAGGAUGAAGGCCUUCGGGUUGUAAACUGCUUUUGUACGGAACGAAAAGCCCUGGGUUAAUACCCUGGGGUCAUGACGGUACCGUAAGAAUAAGCACCGGCUAACUACGUGCCAGCAGCCGCAGUAAGAC
rnacentral:rRNA from 1 species